rnacentral:rRNA from 1 species
AGCAGCCGCGGUAAUUCCAGCUCCAAUAGCGUAUAUUAAAGUUGUUGCAGUUAAAAAGCUCGUAGUUGAAUUUCGGGGUUAGUAGGUUGGUCAUGCCUCUGGUAUGUACUGGUCUCACUGAUUCCUCCUUCCUUAUGAACCGUAAUGCCAUUAAUUUGGUGUUGCGGGAAAUUUGGACUGUUACUUUGAAAAAAUUAGAGUGUUUAAAGCAAGCUAACGCUUGAAUACAUUAGCAUGGAAUAAUGAAAUAGGACGUUCGAUCUUAUUUUGUGGUUUCUAGGAUUGACGUAAUGAUUAAUAGGGGAUAGUUGGGGGCAUUAGUAUUCAAUUGUCAGAGGUGAAAUUCUUGGAUUUAUUGAAGCUAACUACUGCGAAAGCAUUUGCCAAGGAUAGUUUUCAUUAAUCAAGAACGAAAGUUAGGGGAUCGAAGACGAUCAGAUACCGUCGUAGUCUUAACCAUAAACUAUGCCGACUAGGGAUCGGAUGAUGUUAAUUUUUUAAUGUACUCAUUCGG